UCUCCUGGAAAACGGGUGGUAAUGCCGGAUGCUCCAGUUGGAUGCAUGUCCUUCUGGGAAAGAUUCUAUCGGUAUGGGAUGGGGUCGCGUCCUAUCAGCUUGAUGGCGGGGUAACGGCCCACCAUGGCUUCGACGGGUAGCCGGCCUGAGAGGGCGACCGGCCACAUUGGGACUGAGAUACGGCCCAGACUCCUACGGGAGGCAGCAGUGGGGAAUAUUGCACAAUGGGCGCAAGCCUGAUGCAGCGACGCCGCGUGCGGGAUGACGGCCUUCGGGUUGUAAACCGCUUUUGACUGGGAGCAAGCCCUUCGGGGUGAGUGUACCUUUCGAAUAAGCACCGGCUAACUACGUGCCAGCAGCCGCGGUAAUACGUAGGGUGCAAGCGUUAUCCGGAAUUAUUGGGCGUAAAGGGCUCGUAGGCGGUUCGUCGCGUCCGGUGUGAAAGUCCAUCGCUUAACGGUGGAUCCGCGCCGGGUACGGGCGGGCUUGAGUGCGGUAGGGGAGACUGGAAUUCCCGGUGUAACGGUGGAAUGUGUAGAUAU
rnacentral:rRNA from 1 species